CCGUAACUCUGCUUUUCUUCUACACUUGUAGUCACAGUGGCUACAACUGAAAGGCUUCUCGUCUGUGUGAGUCAUCAGGUGACUCUGUAAAGCUGCUUUACUUCUACACUUGUGGCCACAGUGGCUACAACGGAGAGGCUUCUCGUCUGUGUGAGUCAUCAGGUGAGUCCGUAAAUGUGCUUUUGUUCUACUCUUGUAGGCACAGUGACUGCAACUGAAAGGCUUCUCGUCUGUGUGAGUCAUCAGGUGAACCUGUAAUUGUGAUUUUGUUCUACUCUUGUAGGCACAGUGACUGCAACUGAAAGGCUUCUCGUCUGUGUGAGUCAUCAGGUGACUCUGUAAAGCUGCUUUACUUCUACACUUGUGGCCACAGUGGCUACAACGGAGAGGCUUCUCGUCUGUGUGAAUCAUCAGGUGAGUCCGUAAAUGUGCUUUUGUUCUACUCUUGUAGGCACAGUGACUGCAACUGAAAGGCUUCUCGUCUGUGUGAGUCAUCAGGUGAACCUGUAAUUGUGAUUUUGUUCUACUCUUGUAGGCACAGUGACUGCAACUGAAAGGCUUCUCGUCUGUGUGAGUCAUCAGGUGUCUCCGUAAAUCUGCUUUACUUCUACACUUGUGGCCACAGUGGCUACAACGGAAAGGCUUCUAGUCUGUGUGAGUCAUCAGGUGACUCUGUAAAGCUGCUUUACUUCUACACUUGUGGCCACAGUGGCUACAACGGAGAGGCUUCUCGUCUGUGUGAGUCAUCAGGUGAACCUUUAAUUGUGCUUUACUUCUACACUUGUAGGCACAGUGACUGCAACUGAAAGGCUUCUCGUCUGUGUGAGUCACAAGGUGAUUCCGUAAAUGUGCUUUUGUUCUACUCUUAUAGGCACAGUGACUACAACUGAAAGGAUUCUCGUCUGUGUGAGUCAUCAGGUGAACCUGUAAUUGUGCUUUUCUUUUACACUUGUAGGCACAGUGGGUACACCUGAAAGGAUUCUCGUCUGUGUGAGUUAUCAGGUGACUCUGUAAAGCUGCUUUAUUUCUACACUUGUGG